GAUAAACGCUGGCGGCGUGCCUAACACAUGCAAGUCGAACGAUCCCGCAAGGGAGAGUGGCGGAAGGGUGAGUAACACGUGGGAAUCUACCUCCUCGCAGGGGAACAACCUCUCGAAAGAGAGGCCUAAUACCCAAAAGGGUCAGAAAUGAUCAGAGUCGAAAGGCGUGAGGAGAGGAGCCCGCGGCCCAUCAGCUAGUUGGUGAGGUAAUGGCUUACCAAGGCUACGACGGGUAGGGGAUCUGAGAGGAUGUCCCCCACACUGGAACUGAAACACGGUCCAGACGCCUACGGGUGGCAGCAGUGAGGAAAUAUUGGACAAUGGGCGAAAAGCCCGAAUCCAGCAACGCCGCGUUGGAGGAU
rnacentral:rRNA from 1 species